UAGGGAAUCUUCCGCAAUGGGCGAAAGCCUGACGGAGCAAUGCCGCGUGAGUGAAGAAGGCCUUCGGGUCGUAAAACUCUGUUAUAAGAGAAGAACAAAUUGUAGAGUAACUGCUACAGUCUUGACGGUAUCUUAUCAGAAAGCCACGGCUAACUACGUGCCAGCAGCCGCGGUAAUACGUAGGGGGCAAGCGUUGUCCGGAUUUAUUGGGCGUAAAGGGAGCGCAGGUGGUUUCUUAAGUCUGAUGUGAAAGCCCACGGCUUAACCGUGGAGGGUCAUUGGAAACUGGGAAACUUGAGUACAGAAGAGGAAUGUGGAACUCCAUGUGUAGCGGUGGAAUGCGUAGAUAUAUGGAAGAACACCAGUGGCGAAGGCGACAUUCUGGUCUGUUACUGACACUGAGGCUCGAAAGCGUGGGGAGCAAACAGG
rnacentral:rRNA from 1 species